rnacentral:piRNA from 1 species
UACCUGGGUGUUGGGUAAUGGUGACAUU